GGAAUCUUGUGACUUUUCAUGGAUAAAAUGGGUAUUCCCCAGGUGACUCUGGUUGGUCAUGAUUGGGGUGGAUCUGUGGUCUGGAACAUGGCCCAGUGUCACCCAGAGAGAGUCAGAGCGGUCGCUUCCCUGAACACCCCUCUGUUCCCUGUGGACCCCUCCAAGGAUCCAAUGGAGUUUCAGCAGACUCGUGCG